rnacentral:rRNA from 1 species
UACGUAGGGGGCAAGCGUUGUCCGGAAUCAUUGGGCGUAAAGAGCGUGUAGGCGGCCAGAAAAGUCCGCUGUGAAAACUCGAGGCUCAACUUCGAGCUGUCGGUGGAAACUUUCUGGCUAGAGUCCGGAAGAGGAGAAUGGAAUUCCUGGUGUAGCGGUGAAAUGCGCAGAUAUCAGGAAGAACACCCGUGGCGAAGGCGGUUCUCUGGGCCAUUACUGACGCUGAGGAGCGAAAGCGUGGGGAGCGAACAGG